rnacentral:rRNA from 1 species
UACGUAGGGUGCAAGCGUUGUCCGGAAUUAUUGGGCGUAAAGAGCUCGUAGGCGGUUUGUUACGUCGGAUGUGAAAACUCGGGGCUCAACCCCGAGCCUGCAUUCGAUACGGGCAGACUUGAGUUCGGCAGGGGAGACUGGAAUUCCUGGUGUAGCGGUGAAAUGCGCAGAUAUCAGGAGGAACACCGAUGGCGAAGGCAGGUCUCUGGGCUGACACUGACGCUCAUGCACGAAAGCGUGGGGAGCAAACAGG